GGUGGCGGCCUCCGGAUUCGUCCCGCCCCCCGUUCCUCCUGGCUGUCCCCGCCCCUCGCUCUGUUUUCCACCAGCUGCCAGUCCAGCGGGCCUGCCGCCUCCACCGCCCAGUCCUUGCUCAGGUGUCACUGUUGCUGGCAGGCCAGGAUUAGGAAAGGAGAAUGGGCAGGGGGUGGUGGCUGGGAGGAGAGGGGCUCUACCAUGCCACCCCCACCCCCCCCACUUGGCUUCCUACCCUGGAAUCCGCAUACACCCCCGCGCCUCCUUGGCACCCGCGCCUUGGCGACUGGGUUAAGCUGCAGUGUUAGAAGCCUCUCUCCAUAUUCCAAGAAGAUGAAUGUAACAGAUGCAGAGUGGAAGGGGAGCAAGAUGGAAAGUGACUAAGAGGUCAUGAAAGUACGCAAAGCUUUAGACAGUCUGUGGACCUUGGGAUGAGGAAGGAGAAAAAUUAAAGCAUGGAGUGUUCCACAUAGAAGGCAUCUCAGUAAAAACUCUGCCUUUUAUUGAAUGACUGGAGGAGUGAUGGCUAACUAAAAUGUAUUGGGAUAACAGAACAAGCACCCGUGCAUCUGUACCAAACAUAGGAAAUAAAACUAUUGCAAAUAUUAUCCGAGCCUCUUGUGAACUCUCUCUCAUUGCAUUCCCCUGAAGUUGGCAUCACUCUUCUGGACGUUUUAUAUUUCUAAUACAUAUGUAUGAAUUCCAU
rnacentral:lncRNA from 1 species